AAGGUGAUAGUGAAUCGAUUUAAGAUUAUUUUGCCUAAGAUCAUAGGCCAAGAUCAAGUGGGGUUUAUUAUAGGUAGAAAUAUUAUUGACAAUGUUGUCAUAGUACAACAAGUGUUGCAUUCCAUGAAAAGUAAGAGUACAGUUCAGUGGAAAACUAUUAAGAUAGACUUAGAGAAAGCCUAUGAUAGGGUGCAUUGGGAUUUUAUAGAAGCAUAUUUUAAAGUGGUAGUUAUUUCUAACUUUCUAAUAAAUGUUAUUAUGUCGGCUAUCUCGACAUCCACAAUGUAGGUUUUAUGGAACGAAGUUCCAACCCCUAAGUUCAAGCCUGUUAGAGGAAUCCGUUAGGGGUGUCUUUUAUCUCUAUAUCUUUUUUGUGUUAUGCAUGGAAUGGUUGGCCCAUUGGUUUCAUUCGACUAUCUCAUCUAGGGAAUGAAGCCCUAUUCGGUUAUCUCGAAGAGGGCUUGCCCUUUUACAUUUAUUUUUUGCGGAUGACUUAGUGAUUUUUACCAAAGCGAACUUAUAGCGUAGCAAACUUCUUAUUGACUUGUUUGGGUGAUUCUGUGAGUUUUCCAGGCACAAGGUUAAUGUUUGGAAGACCAAUGUGUUUUUUUCUACUGGAGUCAAUAAAGACUUAGUGAGAAAGAUUAAUGAUAUACUCGGGUUCCAACACAUUUAGGAUCUUGGUCAUUAUCUGGGAGCUCCCCUUCACCAAAGAAUCACCAAAUGUACGUUGAGUUUUUUGGUAGAAAGAGUUCGGAGGAAGCUUUCUAGCUGGGAAGCCAAAGAACUCUCAUUUAUGGGAAGGCUUACUCUAGCAUAGUCAGUUUUACUUUCAAUCCCAAGCUAUCUCAUACAAUCCUUAAUGGUCUCAAAAGGCGUCUACAACGAAAUUGAAGAAAUGGUGCGGCAAUUCAUUUGGAGAUCUUCUGGUGGUAAAAGGAAAACGGCAUUAGUGAGGUGGGAUGUUAUUUGUUAGAUUAGAUCGUAUGGAGGUUUUGGGAUACGACAUCUUAGUGGUCAGAACUUCGCUUUUAUGAUGAGGCUUGGUUUUAAUAUUGUUACCAAAACUGAUGCUUUAUGGGUUCGGGUCCUUAGAGUGAAGUAUGGGAAAAAUGACAGAUUGCCAGAAUGUAUUGCAUAGAGUAGAAACUCUUUUAUGUUGAAAUCCAUUUCUAAGGCAUGGCCUUUACUGUGUGAUAAUUUGAUAUGGUUAAUGAAUAAUGUAAAUAACGUUCAUUGUUGGAAGGAUGCUUAGGUCUCUAAUAUAAUACCAUUAAGAAAACAUGUUCCUGCUUAUGCGAAUGUUGUUUCAUACUGUAAGCUGAGUGAGAUGGUUACGAAAAAUGCCACAUGAAACCUCAAUUUAUUUCGAGUUUGGUUGAUAGAAAAUGUUAUCCAACACAUCGUUAGCAUUCCCCCACCAAUGUCUUUUGUAGGACCAAAUUUGAUUUUUUUUUGUCGUUCUACAACAAUUGCCUUCUUUGUUAAAAGUAAAUAUUGGAUGUUGAAAAAAUGGUCUUGGAAUCCUAGAGAUGUAGUUUGGAAUAUAGUGUGGAAAUUUUCUAGGACUCAGAGAGUUAGACAUUUUAUUUGGAUAGUUCUAAAACAGAGACUCUUAACCAAUGUUGAGAGAAUUCAAAGGAGGAUUGGUCAGGAUGAGUUAUGCCUUCUUUGUGGACAUAGAUAUGUGGAUGCAUUACAUGUACCUAGGGAUUGCUCUGUUGCGAAAGAUGUUUGGUGCCAAGCUUUUCCACUAAGUCAACAUGGGGUUUUCUUUUCUAGCAAUUUAACAGAAUGGUUGAUUUCAAAUUUGCACGAUCACUCAAAUCACAACACGAGGGAUCAAAGUUGGGUUUGUCUAUUCGAGUUAUUAAUGUGGCAUAUUUGGAAAAAUAGAAAUUAUUUUAUCUUCCAAGGUAUAUCCAUGAAUCCAAAUGAUAUUAUUAAGGUCUCAUAUAGCUGGGCUAACCAAUAUAUUUCAGUACAUAGGGACGUGUCGAGGGUCAUCAUCCAAUUUGAUAAUUUUGAUGUUGUUAAAGCUAUUUGCUACCGUCAAUUAGCUGGGGCAAGUAUAUCACUUGUUAAGAGAAUCCAACAUAUUUUAUCCCAUGAAGACAAGAGGUUCGUGCAACAUACCCUUAAGAAAAAUAAUCAGGUAAGGAAUUCAUUAACUAAAAUGACUUUUGCGAAUGAUGAAGAUUUGUGUUUAUUUGAUGUCCUUCUUAUAGAGAUUCAAGUAAUUUUAAAAGAGGAUAGAGUGAGAGGUAAUUUGGCUCCAGUUAUUAAACUAUUUCAGUUUGUUUUUUCACAAAAAAAAUACAUCUAUUAGCCCUCUUAUAUUAACUAAUAAUUAAAAAAAUAUUUUAAAGUUUAUUCUAAUUAAAUUUGGGUGACUUGAUUCACAUACACCAAAUUCAAUUAGAGCUAUAGAUUAAUAAAAAUCUCAUAUGGUCACGUAACCAAUUUGUUAAGUUUUUAAAUGUACACAAAUUAAAAUGUCCUUUUCAAUAAUAAAAGGAUUAAAAUGAACAUUUGGUAUACUAUAAGGACUGGUAUUGUAUUUUAACCUCAUUUUUUGAGUGAACGAUGAUAUUAUAAAAAAAAUGAAAUUAUAACAAAUUAAAAAAUACCAGAACUAUACUUUAACCCAAAAAAACAAUAUCUUCAAUAUAUAUAUACACACAAUUUUUCUUUUAAGAAAUAUGUCAUAUUCUCAAGAGAAAAUACUUAUGUUAAAACUUUAAAGAUGAUAUUGUUGAAAAAAAAUCACAAAUACGAAUAUAAAUCAUAAAAUAAUCAUGAAAAAUAUCAAAAAAUAAGAGUAAAUCUGGAAAAUUUAGAUUUUAAAAUAUUGAGAUUAUUUUUAUUCAAGUUGAAGUUAUAACUUCUUUUGAAUUUAAAUUAUUUGUAGUUAAGGUAAUUUUUUAUUAAAUUCAUUUGGGUAGGUUAGUUCUUUUUUUUUUUGAAAUGCUCGACUGGAUUUUAAACAAAUAAAACAAAGUUUGCCUCUCACUUGGACAUUGGACCAAGGACCAGGCCUUAAAAUAAAGCAAAUAAUAUAAGAUAAACAGGCCUAGAAGACUAAAAUCCCUAAUUGGCCCCCAACAAGAUGGCCUAACUAAACCAAACUUAAAAAAUCAAAACUAAUAAAAAUCUACUCUAGAAAAUUCCAGCCCAAAGAAGACAGCUGUAUCCCAAAAAAUAUUUUGGCUUUCCAAUGCUCCUGCACAGCUCAUAAUAGCAGAUUCCUUCAAAUCCCAUAAGAUCUUUAACCUUCUGUUACACAUUUCCAUUUGACUGUUUCAUUUCAUCAGUCUGGAGUCCGUGGUCUUCUCCUCUCCAGUAUUCGCCGAACAUGCUCAGGAACUCCUCCUUCCAGGUAAUGGCCUUCAUUUACUUUCAACGCUUCCUUUACAAUCACAUGAGCAAAAAAAGUUUUCUGACUUUGGAAUAUGAUGGAAGUUUAGUUUUUGGUAGAAAUGCUUUAUCUCUUGAAUAUUUCUUAUUAUAGCUCCAAUAAUUGAAUUAUCUCUGUCUAUGUUCUGGCAUUUUUUUAUAACAGUUCUUGAAUCUUCAUUUAUGUCGCAUUCAUGAAAACCCAAUAAAAUUCCUAACCUUACUGCUUUUUCUCCUGCAUGUGCUUCCGCCGCAAACGGAGAGGCAACAUUUUCAUGAAUGACCGAUUUUGAGACCAAAAUAUCCCCUUGCAUGUUUCUAACUAGCAACCCUGAUGCGGAUUUGAAGAGUUGUUGAUCGAAAGCCCCAUCAAAAGAAAUGACUACCCUCGUUCGCCGAUCUUCAUGAGUAAAAACCCUUCCUUUAUCAGAGAUAAAUAGUUUCUCUUCUAAGCUUUGCAACUUUGAAAUAUAAUUGCUUAUUUGUCGUGAGAUCUCUCUGCUUGUUCUAUCUUUACUCUCAUAAAGCAAUUGAUUCCUGUUUGACCAGAUAAGCCAAAGCCCGUAGCAAAAUAGUCUGCACAGGUAAACCACUCCCAAAUGCUCUGAAUAUUAUUAUUAAGCACCAAGAGAAAUCUAAGUACUCCCAAACUUCCGUCGUUAUAAGACACAUUCUGAAAACAUAAUUGCUAUCCUCCUCAGACUGCCGACAUUUGGGACAUCAGACUUUAUUUGUAACUCGCCUCAAUUUAAGAUUAGCAAGCGUAGGGAUAUAAUUCCAGGAAAUUUUCCAGAUUGUAAUUUUAAUUUUCAAAGGGAUGUGUAAAUCCCAUAGUUUUCUGUAGAAAGUUGCAUUUUCGGCCUGUAUAAUAUUAUUACCAGGAAUCCGAGUAAUCUUUUGUAAUAGUUUAUAGGCAUUUCUAACCAAAAAGAUGCCUGAUGGUUCUCUACCCCAAACUUGGAAAUCAUCAUGUACAGACCUUGCCAAAGGGAUCAGCAGAAUGUUCUUUGCAAUACCCGCAUCAAAGGUAUUAAAAAUUAGAUCCGCUUUCCAUGUUCUACUUUCGUCCUCAAUCAAAUCAGAGACUAAUUCAAUAUCUGCAUUUCCUCUUUGAUGCUGUAACGUAUUCUCUUCAUAACCCGGUAUCCAAAGAUCGUCCUAGAUAGAGAUACUAUCCCCCUUACUGGUUCUCCAGCAUAAGCCUUUUUCCAGCACUUUUCUAGUUGACCAGAUACUUCUCCAAGUAAGUGAAGUUAGGUUCCCUAACCGUGCAUUUAAAAAUCUGUCGACAAAUAAUACUUGGCUUUUAAAACUCGAGCUAACAACGAAUCUGGAUAAGUAAUUAAAGGCCAACCCUGCUUAGCUAGUAACGCGAUAUUAAAUUUGUCAAACUCUCGGAAUCCAAUACCUCAUUCCUCCUUGAAAGAACAUAAAUCCCUUAAUGCACACCAAUGAAUGUCUUUCUUAUCCCUGCUUUUUUGCCACCAGAACUUUGCUAUUAAUCUCUCCAAUUCCGUACAAAAGGAUUUAGGAAGUAGAAAGCACGACAUAGAAUAAGUUGGAAUGGAUUGAAGAACCGCCUUAAUAAAAACCUCCUUUCCUCCUUGAGAAAGAUGUUUAACACUCUAAUUAUCUAUUCUUUGUUGCAAUCUAUCUUUCAAGUUUUGGAAAGACGCUUUCUUCCUCCUCCCCACUAAAUUAGGUAAACCCAAGUACCGUUUAGGAUCAGUUGAGCAAUGUACUCCAAGCACUCUAGUUACUAAACUUAUAUCCCUUUUUUGAGUAUUGGCACUAAAGAAAAUAGUAGAUUUUGAAUAAUUAACCUUCUGCCCCGAACAACCUUUAUAUUCGUGCAAAAUCUGCUUUAAUGAAAUCGCCCCUCUUUCUGUAGCCUCGCCGAACAGAAUGCAAUCAUCCGCAAAUAAUAAAUGUGAAACCUGUGGACCGCUUCUGCUUGCCUUAACUCCGCGAAGAAUUUUCUUUUUCAUUGUUGGUCUCAUAAGACUAGAUAGACCCUCCCCACAAAAUAGAAAUAAAAAUGGACUCAAGGGAUCUCCUUGUCUAAGGCCCCUAGAAGGAUUGAAAGUAGAACCACUAAAUCCAUUAAACACUAUCGAGUAAGAAACUGUAGUAACACAUCUCAUUAGUGAAUCAACCUAAUCGGGGUCAAAUCCCAUUUUCUUCAUUACCCUUUCUACAAAACUCCAUUCGAUGCUGUCAUACGCCUUACUCAUGUCCAAUUUUACUGCUAUAAAGUCUUUUUUCCCGACUCUUUUGUGCUUCUUUUGUGCUUCAGAGUAUGUAGAAGUUCAUAAGCUAGAAUCACAUUAUCAAAAAUCAAUCUCCCUGGCAUGAAAGCACUUUGUGCUGAAUCAAUACACUUGUCUAUCACAGAUUGGAGACAAUUAGCAAUAACUUUAGCUAUCAAUUUGUAUAAUACAUUACACAAACUAAUAGGACGAAAGUACGUAAUAUUAGAGGGAUUCACAAUUUUUGGGAUUAGCAUAAUAUUUGUCUUGUUAAUUGAGCUUGGAUCCGUACCUUCAUUUAACAAAUUGAGCCAAUAAGACAUGACAUCUUUUCCAAUAAUUAACUAGCAUUUCUGGUAGAAUAGUGCUGGAAAACCAUCCUUACCUAGUGCUUUUGUUGGUCCCAUUUCUUUCAACGCUACAUAAAUCUCUUCCUUUGUAUAUUCAGCCUUGAGUUUUAAAUUGUCCUCCUAAAAAAUGCAACGAUCAAUACUUGAAAAAGUGUGAUUAUAAUUUCGUCUCCUUCCAGCUAGAAACAACUGCUGAAAAUACGAUCUGGCUAUCUUUUCCAUUUCUUCAAUAACUUCAGUUUCCCUGCCGUCGUUAUAUUGUAACUUGCGGAUAUAGUUCUUUCUCCACCUUUGCGUUGCCUGCCGUCGUUAUAUUGUAACAGUACCCAAACCUCUUUUCCGGUAAGAUUUUCGGGGACGAAAAUCCCUAAGGGGGGAGAGUUGUAACAGCCCGAUUCUGGGCCUAGUCGGAAUAGUGGUUUCGGGACCACAAAUCCGACGAGGGAAAAUAUGGUUAUUAUUAUAUUUUUAUGAUCUACAAUUUCACGGAAAAUUUUCGUAAAAAUUUCGUUCGAAAAUUUCGACGUUUGGGCACUCAAUUUAGUCAAAAGGACUAAAUUGUAAAUAGUGCAAAAGUUGAGUUCUAUAUGUAAAAGUAUCUAAUUGAUAUGAAAUUUUAAAUUGGAGGUCUUUAUGUGGUAAUUAGACCAUUAGUUAGUUGAUGGACAAAAAUAGACAUAAGAAAUGAGAGAAAUAGAUUUUUUUUAAGUGGGGGCAUAUUAGUCAUUUGGUAAUAAAAAAAAUAAAAUGGGAAAAAGAUGACAAAAAUCAUCAUCUUCCUCAUUAGUUGCUGCCGAAAUUUGAAGGAAGCCAUAGCUAAGGUUUCUUUGCUUUCUCAAGCUCAUAGUAAGUGCAUCCUAGCCCCGUUUUUAAUGUUCUUCGCAUUUUUGGAAUCCUCGUAACUCGGUUUAGCUUAUUCUAGCAAUAAUUCGUGUUAGGGCUCAUAUUUGGAAAAAUACCCAUAGGUGAAAUGUGUUUAUUUUGCUGUUUUAUGGUGGAAUAUGAAGCUAUAAAUUAUGUUAAACAACUUUUGCUAAGCGAUUUUAAGCGAAAACGGGUAAAUAGGCAUAAUCGGUAAAAAUAAUUAUUGUUCAUAAGUGUAUGUUAGAGUGAGAAUUUGAUGUUGCCAUAGAAGGGGAAAAUGUUCAGCAUGUCAUAAAACCUAAGAAUAAGUGAUGAAGUUUAAUUUCCGAGCUUGGGGACAAAAGUGUAAUUAUGCAAAAGUUUGGGGGCAAAAUUGUAAUUUUUCAAAAAGUUGGGUGGUGGAUUAUUUUAAUGAAUGUGAACAUUAAAUGAGUUAAAUUUGCUAUUAUAGAUCAAGAAAGACGUGAAGAUUAUCUCAAACGAGGAAAAGAAAAGAUAGUGGAGUGAAGUGCAAUAUUACGAUAUUUUGCACCGAGGUAAGUAAACACGUGACUUGAUGUAUUAUUUUGACAUUAAUUGAUAUAUGUUGAGAUUUAUUUGGAAUUAAAAUAAAUGUUUGGCCAUAUCCUAAAAAUGUUGUUAAAUCGGGAAAGGUGGUAAAGGGUUGCAAUAUAUGAUUUAUGGGUUGAACACUCGGAAUAAGCCGAAGUAUGUUGUACAUAAAGGGGUUGCUGUGUGCUGAUUCCCCGAUUCAUUGGUGGUGCUAUGUGCGAUAUCCACCGUAUCUUUGAAAUGUGAAAGGGGGUUGCUAUGUGCUGAUUCCCCCGAGGGGUUGCUAAGUGCUGAUUCCCCAGUUCAUUGGUAGUGCUAAGUGCGAUAUCCACCGUAUCUCUGAAAUAAAGAGGGGGUUGCUAUGUGCUGAUUCCCCCAAGGGGUUGCUAAGUGCUGAUUCUCCGAUUAAGUGGUGGUACCCUCGCCCAUUGUUCCCAAUACCUCUCAUCCUUUUCAAUCUCAAAAUUAACAUCCACCUUUGUAUCAAUUAGUUCUGCUAGAUUUUCAUCGCUUUUAUCUUCUUCUAGCAAUUUUUUCAGCUUUAAAUGCAACAUCUCUUUCUUUGCUUUCCUACUAUAUCGAAUUUUAGCCGCCCAUUUCUGCAACCCUCUUCUAACACACUGCAACUUGUUUAAUAGGUCUCCUGAAGAAUUUUCCCAAAUACUCUUCACUUCACCAAUAAAUGAUUCCUCCAGCACCCACCAUGCUUCAAAUUAAAACCUUCUCUCCAUGUGCCUCGAAUAUUCGGAUUUAGUAUUUAUGAGCAAUAGACAGUGAUCGAAAAAGGAAUGUGAUAGAUGACGAACUUGAUAAUCGAGAAAUAAAACAAGCCAGCUGUCAGUAGCUACCCUUCUAUCUAGCUGUUCUUGAAUAUUAGUCUCUGGAAAUUACCUCUCUCCCAUGUGAACCAAUUCCCAGAAAAGCCCAUAUCAAUUAAAUUGCAAUCCUCCAACACCCUUCUAAAAGCUUCCAUUCUUCCUUCCUCCCGUGAUAAGCUUUCCUUGUCUCACAUCUGUACAUGAUCUCGUUAAAAUCCCCACUUACCAGCCAUGGAAGUUCCCCAGCUUCACACAAUUGUCUUAAAAGAUCCCAUGUUGCAUCUCUAUCUUGGUGAUAAAGAGAUCCAUAAAAUCCGGUAAAUCUCCAUUUAGUACCUUUCUCCAUAUCAUCUAUUAUCACAUCAAUAUGGCUAGUCGAAAAGCUUUGAAGUAAAACACUGAUAUCCCCUUUCCAUGCUAAAUACAAUCCUCCACUUGAACCAAUUGAUCCAACCUCAAUCCCAUUGAAAAAAUCGCAACUUCUUUGAACCUUUUCCAUGUGACUCCUGUCAAUUUUUGUCUCCAUAAAGAAGACCAUUUGGGGAUUAUGUAACUUCAACGUGUGUCGAAGUCUUCAAACUGCCUGCUGGCUCUCCAAACCGCGGACAUUCCAAUUUAAUAUUUUCAUUGUGCCCUGUCGGUUUGCCUCUUGGCAGUCGCCAAUAAUAAAUGUGUGGAAUCCUUUAUAACCUUAGUUCUCACAUCCAUACAGUUUCCUUCUUCUCUUACUGUUAAUCCUUCACUAUCCCCUCUUUUUCGUUUUUUACCUUCAUCCCCCAUUAGUACCCUAUCCUCAAAAUCAUGAUCCAUUGCAUUAAAGCUAUCCACCAUCCCUAAAUUUUCACCUUGAGGAUGGGAUUUAUACAGUCUCCCCUCUAAAUUUAUUCCCAAAAUGGGAUCUAUAUUGCUCCUAAUUCCCAUUUUCUUCUUGGGAAUUCUCAGCAUACCCCCUAUCAUUUGACUUCCCUCCUGAUUUCCGCCGAUACUUCCUCCUCAUCAUCAUGUAACCAAACACUUUUCAUAGCCAAAGCCCUUCGAGAUUGAGCCCGCAGCGUUAAAUCCCAUCCCAUUUCUGCAACUUCCACCCCUAAUGCCAUUUUUGCUUCACAAAAUAAAUCGCUAUGCCCUAAACGACCGUAAUAAAAACAAAACAGUGAUAAACGUUCAUAUUUAAAUCGAACAUAUGAACACUGGCCAUUAAACAUAAGCUGUUUCUUUCUUCUCAAAAGCUGACGUAUAUCCACUUGAAUUCGUAUCCUCAUAAAAUUACAAUUCUCUUUCCCUAACAUAGAAUUGUCAUACUCUAUAAAAAACCCUAUAAAAUUCCCAAGUUGCACCGCCAAAUGUUCAGCGAAAAAACCAAAAGGAAUAUCAUGGAUCUGAACCCAAAAGGGUGAAAAAAUUAAAGGGACAUUCAAUGGGUCUUCCUCGCUUUGCAGCUUAUGUAACAGCAGUAAAUGUCUGUUAAAGGUCCAUGACAAACCCUUUAAGACCCUUUCCAUGUCCAUAAUAUGAAAAAAUUGAAACAAUUACCUUUUUUCCCCCAGAUCUCGAAUUUAAACACCACAGACAGGAUACCACAAAUUUGCCAUGGUAUUUUUCAUUCCUGGAAAAUGGAUGACACUAGCUGUUAAAAAGCAACCCACCAAUUGGAAAAAUCCCCUCACCCUAUAUGUGUUUGUUUCUGCUUGAAUUUGCAAAACCUCAUCUUUCUCCUCAUUAAUCGAAAGUUCAGCAAAAUUAGAUUCCAUAAUCAAGACUCACGUUCAGUAGCUAUUGUAUUUUCCAAAGAAAAAUAGAUAGCAGCAGGGCAACUGCUAGAGAUAGCAGACAGAGACGUGCUAGAGAUAGCAGACCUAAAUAAAGAGAUUAGGUUAGUUCAUUAAAUAAGGUAGAAUUAUUAUCUUUUUAUGUUGAAAUAAAAUUAUAUCUAAUUUAAAUAUAUAUUAAUUAAAUAGUCCAACAUAAGUAAAAUUCUUAGUUAAAUUUAUUUGUGAAAUAUUUUGAAAUAAACAAAAUACUUACUCGAUAGCUAUGUUUACUUGAAUUUAACAUAAAAGUUUUAACAAUUUUUACAAUUAAAUUUAUAUUUUUAAACUCGAAAAGUGAAAAAUAGAUAAUUAAAAUCCUAACAAUAGAAGUAAAGAGACCAAAUUUUAAAUAUAUGAAGAUUACAGGUACUUAUAAAGAUUUUAAACUUUUUUUUUAAUUAACUCAUUUUCUUUCUCUCUAUUGACACCAAACCACACUAUAACUACAGGGAAUUAGGAAAAGCAAAAAUUCUGUAUUUAGCUCCUUGAAAAUUCGCUACGUUUUCUCCCAUAUUAUAUGCUCUGCUCUGCUCGCCAGUUCCCAGUCUCUCCAUGAAAGAACCUUCCCUCUCCCUUUAUCCUCUCUAAACUUCAUUCCAAUCCAACCCCUUUUUUCUCUCUUGUUUUUUCAUUACUAAAUCGACUAAGGAACCUUUUUUUUUGGGUUCUUUUUGAAAAGCAAAACUCCCGAGCAUUAAUGGAGAAAAAGCAAGGUUUUUUCUCAGCUCUCAAAGAGGAAGUAAUUCGUGGGCUUUCACCUUCCCGCUCGAGGACCAACAGCCCCGGAAGAGCCCGGUCACCUAUUGCCAUUCUGUUGCGGAGAAAGAAAAGCGGCCACUACAACUACGGAGGCGCUUACCUGGUACAACCGGAGCCCUUGAUCGCGAGGUACGGUGUCGGGGAAGCGUUAGCUCCGCUCAUGGAAGGUCCCGACCCGGACGGAGGCGAAACCGGGGAUUCCAAGAGGCUUGGGUUGGGGCUAGGACAAUGGGUUAUGGGACAGUUAUCGAGGACUCCAUCCAUGGCUUCCUUGAGUUGCAAAAGGUCCGAUCUAAGGCUGUUGCUCGGGGUCAUGGGCGCACCUUUGGCUCCUGUUCAAGUUUGCUCCACUGACCCUUUGCCUCACUUGAGCAUCAAAGACACUCCCAUUGUUAGUACCCUUCCGCCCCCCCCCCCCCCCCCGGUCUUCUUUAGCUUAUAAUAGACUUAAAAAAGAACAAAUGAACUUCUGGGUGUUUUUUUUCUGCUUAUGAUGGUUUGAAUGGCGACUAAAGUAUUUAUCAUUUAUAGUAUUUUAUUUGUAAUGUUCUUGUAUUUUUCUUUAAGCUUCUUCUAUGGUCUAUGGAUCCAUUUUAUUAAAUCAUGGUUUUCAAACUGUGGUUAGCAAGAAACUUGAGUAAAAACUCCAUUUCUUUGCGGUAUGGUGCAGGAAACGUCCACUGCUCAGUACAUAUUGCAGCAGUAUACAGCUGCUUCCGGUGGUCUGAAGCUGCAAAACUCAGUCCGGAAUGCGUAUGCGAUGGGAAAACUGAAAAUGGUAGCUUGUGAGUACGAAACUGCUGCGAAGACGGUUAAGAACCGAUAUGGCUCCAGAGGUGCGGAGUCCGGUGGGUUUGUGCUCUGGCAAAUGAAUCCGGACAUGUGGUAUGUUGAACUUGCGGUUGGGGGCAGCAAGGUUCAUGCUGGCUGUAAUGGGAAGCUUGUAUGGAGGCACACACCUUGGCUUGGAGCUCGCACUGCAAAGGGGCCUGUUAGACCCUUGCGUCGUGCACUUCAGGUGAGGUCUCCUAUGCUUAUCAGCAGCUGAAUAUUGGCUCUUCGGUUAUAUUUCUAGCAUUACUGGCUUUCUGAUUCUCUCUUUGUGCUUCACUAUUCCUAAAUCAGGGUCUUGAUCCGAGAACUACAGCUAGUAUGUUUUCUGAUGCAAAAUGUAUAGGAGAGAAGACAAUUAAUGGUGAGGAUUGCUUCAUCCUCAAGCUCUGUACCGACCCCCAGACAUUGAAGGCAAGGAGUGAAGGCCCUGCGGAGAUCAUUAGGCAUGUCUUAUUUGGCUACUUUAGUCAGAAGACCGGGCUUCUGGUUCACAUGGAGGAUUCACAUUUGACUCGUAUUCAAUCCAACGGUGGCGAUACUGUUUACUGGGAAACCACAAUCAAUUCAUAUCUUCAUGAUUACCGACCUGUCGAAGGUAUCAUGAUAGCACAUUCUGGCCGUUCUGUCAUUACACUUUUCAGGUUCGGGGAAGCUGCAAUGAGCCAUACGAAAACAAGGAUGGAAGAAGCUUGGACGAUCGAGGAGGUUGCCUUUAACAUACCAGGCCUUUCUGUUGAUUGUUUUAUCCCUCCAGGUGAUUUGAAAUCUGGAUCCAUCAGUGAAACCUAUGAACUACCUCAGGACGAAACAGGGACGAGUGCGAUCGCCUUAUCAGCAUAUCAUGCCAAAGUUGCUGCACUCGAGAGGGCACAGGAUAAUUGGCUGACAGUAUGAUUUGCAGGAUACAAGUCUGAAGAAGUGUAGAAUUCACAACUUAGCAAGUGCUCAAAUUGGUAGCUAGUUCAGUUGACUAAUCCAUUAGAAGUUAAAAAAAAGAAGAAGGUAGAAGUCAAUUUUUGGACUUCAGUGUUACGCCUCUAUUAAUCUGUAAAUAGAGCAUAAUGAUUCAUAUCGGGACCUCUAUGAAUCUUUAUACUCUCAAUGCAGAAUCCAACUAUGGAGAGUUGGAGCUCGGUUUUUCCAAUUAGGGAUAGAGCUAAUGGAGGUUGGUUUUUAGUUUACCUGGCUUUGAUGGUAAGUAGCAAAGCUGCCCCAUCGACCCUUUUAUUUUUUCUAUAGUUAUACUAACUAUAUAUAGUAUGGCAGCAUAAAGGAUGCUGCCAGUUUAACAGUAAUGUCUAGGUUUUUUUAUUUUUUUUGAUGUUACAAAUUCUGGAUUUGUGAUUCAAAGUGUGAUGAUUUGGGUUGAAAGUUGUUUUGGGGGGGUUUGAGAGAAGGGAAAGAGAUUUUGCCAUUUUUGUGGAAAUGGUGAUAAAUAGGCAUAAUGGUAAAUGAGAUGGAACUAACUAUAUUUCUUACCUUCUGAAAGUUAUUCAAUGCUUUUGAUGAAUAUACAGUGAUCCCCAUAUUUCCUUCAUUCUUUUCUGAGUUUUAAUACGUGACUUGUGAAUGCCCAGAUUAUCUUUGUACUACAAGUGACGACACUCGAACCCUAAUGCUGUUGUUAGGGUGUUAAUAAGAACUUUGGUUGAACCACCAUAUCUUUAAGAAUAUACUUAAUCUUCCUACACCAAGUAGGCAGCAAUAUCUAAGGUUAUCUUUGACCCAUCACUGCCAUUGGAACCCUUUAAGGCUUGAGUGUGUCCCCUUGGUGGGGUGUCCAAAGCUGUUUUUAGUCAGACAAGCCAACAUAUUUUUGAAGCAAUGCAAAGCCCCACCUUUGACCACAGGUGUAAUGUGGGGUUAGGUUGGUUCAGUGGUGUGAAGUUGUGGUAGCAUCGUUCAAAGCUAAAAAAGCUAAGCACGAGAUGAAAGUUCCUCAAAACCCCCAUGUGAUUCUUCAUUCUUUUGCUUUUGCUUUGAUUCCUUUGCUUAACUGUUUUAACAGAUCUUUUUACCUGCUUUUGCCAACUUAUUUAUUUAUUUAUUUCGGUCUUUCUUCAUCUUUACUCUCUAAGAUAUAUAUAGGUGCUGAGGGUAGGGAAAGUUCCAACUCAUCCCAUGUUUUCUGAAAAGUCAAUCUAUCUUUCUUUUACUCCAUUUUCUUUUUCAGGAGCCACAGAGGACUUCUCUCUAUAUGUAAAAUCAAGUCAUAAAAUUUGGGCAUAUUUUAAUAAAUGCAUUAUAAUAUAUUUUUACUAAAAUGUUUUUCUUUUAAUUUUACAGGUAUUAUAUCUAUUUUGAUUAAAUUUUAUCAUUAUAGAUGGCUUGAGGAGUUUUUUUUUUUUUUUUUACUUUACCGAUGGUGUACAAGACAAUAAUUCAAAAUAAUAAAUAUAAAAUAAGAAAAAAAUACUAUAUAUGUAUUUGUAUUAAGAGUUGAAUUUUAUUUUAUCCUCUCUACUCAAAAAAUGGGUUAAUUAGUCAUGUAUGUUAGAUCAAAGAGCAAAUUGAUCUUUUUGUAAAAUAUUCUAUCCAUUCUUGCUACUAAUAAUUGGUCCAUAGACUAAUUUACUCUUUCAUCUAAUGUACAAGAAUUAAUUUAUCCGUUUUUUAAGUAAAGGUAGCAAAAUACAAUGUGACUUCUAAUAUAAGAGUUUUCAUGGUACUUCUAUUAUAUAAAACAUUAUAAUAUUAUGUAAAAUAUAAAGUUGAGUUGGGAUGUUUUUUUUUUUCAAGAAGUUGGAGGGCAGGUGGAUUGAAGAAAUCAUUUUGGGGUCGGAAUUGGAUGCUAUUAAUUUUGAGUUUAACUUGUUUAAUUUGGUUGACAUCCAUAUUUUUAUCAGUACGAGAAGACGUAGAUUUGAGUGCGUUGUAGUCCAUUAACCUUUUCCCUUAAAAACUUAGCUGUAAAGUAAUUGACAAAACAAUUUACUUACAAUAAAUUUGCACUAGAAUAAUUUCUUGACUUAAACAAAAUAGGUUCUCUUAAUCUCAAGAAUUCUGUUAAAUUGGUGUUUAAUGGCUUGCAAAAGUACAACUAAGGUGUUCAAAUUUCGGUUAAAAUCGAAUGAACCGACCGAAUCGAACUAAUUCGGUUGAUCUGUCAGUUAACCAAUCUAAUUCGAUCAGAGGGUGGUUAAUGGUUUCUUGGAAGUUCGAUUAUCGGUUAAUUCUGGUUGAAAUCGGAUAAUUAACCGAAUUAACCGAACUUUUAAAAAACCAAUAUUAUAUAUUACCAUUUCGGUUAAGGGUUAAGGGUUUAAAAAUUUCGGUUAAUUCAAUUAAUGCUAGUUUGGUUUGGUUAAACGAUUGAGCACUCCUAAGUGCAAUUAAUGUAGAUCUCUCUCUUUUUUUCUCUAUUCAAAAAAUAGUCUUCAAUAAAGAAAAAAGUGGAAGAGAUAUUCUCGAUAUAAACUUCUUUAAAAAUAAAAUCUCUUUAAUUAUGGAAAUUUCGAUCACAUUGAAAGUAUUGAUAAAGUCCUUACUUUGACAUGAUUCUUAUACAAUUUGCCUUCACUAAUGCACUGCCAAAAAAGCCUUCCAAGAUGCUCAAUUAAAAACCCCAAUAGUUUUGAUCAAAAGAUGUCAACCAGUAUGAUAAGUUACAGUUGUUUGCCAAAUGCACGUUAAAUUACAACUGGAGUUGCACCUGACAUUUAUAACUAGCACUAACAAAUUAAUUGAGUGUAAAUCUUUGAUUGCCUUCACUAUGUGUAUACUCAAACAUAUAUGUUGAACAUACAUCCAAUAAUAACAAAAAUAACCAACAAGCUAUUGGUUUAGUAAUAACUUGUACGUGGGUUCAUGUGUUGACAUGCAUCUAGGGUUUAAUCCCUAUGAAAUCCCUUUCGGCUAAAAAAAGGGAAAAAAAAACGUAUACUUUAACAAUUUUUAAGGUAUCUACUAAUUAUUUCAUUUAAUUUUUUAAUACCCUUCAUUUGUGUAGAAGGUUCUUUAGUGGAGAGAGGAGGUGUUGCAAGCAAGUAAAUAGAAUGCAUCAGGAGUAGCUAGAGAGGAAGACUGGAGCAAAUCUUAUAAAUUGAGCGUAGUAAUAGGUGGGGGCUUAUAAUGUGGAAAAAGGUUGCACGUGGCUUAGAAUAAGACUAAGUAUGAGAAUAGUUUAAAAGAGUUUUAGAGAUAGUUUUGGGAGUUAGAAUACUAAAAUUGUUAAAAAGUCCUUUCACAAGUUGCAAAAGGCUUCUAUUUAUAAUGUCUAAAAAUAAGAGUAUUAAAUAGGGGUAAUGACAAAUAUUGUAAGUUAUAAAGGCAUUAAUAUCCUUUUAAUAAUAAAUAGUUUAGGCUUAAUGGUGAAGGGUAAAUAAGGAAUAAGAAUUCACUAUGUUUCUGAAAGAAAAGAGAGAAUCACAUAAUGUUAUAUGAAAAAGUUAAGAAGAAACCUUUUAACUACAUCCUUAUUUGAUCCACCAAAUCGAUCUUCGGAACAUCCUAAGAAUCUUGCCUUAUUUUGAGGUUAUUUCCACUUCUUCCGUUUUUGUGAAGUAAUACCUUGUGAAACAUUUUAUCUAGAACAUCACUUGAAAUGCAAGCUAUUCUUAAUGAAGAAUUCUUCUUGAAUGAGAGUUGUUCCUGAAUAAGGGUUAUUUUUACUUAUUCCAAAAGUGAAUUGUUCUCAACAUAGCCAUCCUUAGUAGUGGUUGUUUCAAGCAAGAAUCGUUUUGCAAUGAUGCUUUUCUUUAAAGAGAUUAUUUUGAAUAAUGACUCAUCUUUAAAAAAAAAAAAGAAAAAGAAACUCACAAUUGUUCUAAAUAGAAAUUGUUUUGAAUUAUGGAUAUUCUAAACAAAAAUUGUUUUGAACAUUAGUUGUUCCCAAAUGACAACUAUACUCACAGCUAUUUAAACUAGAGCUUUAUUCUGAACAUAGUUAUUUUGAACUAGCUAUUCUUAACGACGAUUAUUUUGAACAACAAUUAUUUUAAACAAAAAAUGUUCUUUCGGAAAAAGAAUUAAGUGAAACAAUAUUUUUACUUAUUCAUAGUUAACCUUUUUAUCAUCUUUGGGAGUGCAAUUCACCUUAUUACUCUGAAAAGAGAUAAAAGAUUAGUAGUAAAACUAGUAUCUACAUUUUUUUUGUCGUAAUCAAGGUAUCUAUCGCUAAUGGCAAUGACUAAUCCUCUUGCCAUGGGUGAAAACGAUUAGUCAUAAAAUGUUUUAUUCCCUUGAGCAGAGAUCGAACCCUCAACCGUAUAAUAAAGGAUGAGAUGAGCAAUCACCACACUAUUCCUCAUAAUUAAAACUAGUAUCUACAUUUUAUCUAUCUUAUGGUUUCUUUUUGUGUUUUUUUUUCCAUCUUCAUAAGUUGCAGCAGGAUAUUUAGGGAGUGUUGUUAAACUGGUGGACAUUGUUGAGCACUUCAAAAAUACAUGUGGAUAAUACACAAUAUAAUAUGCAAUAAAAGUUAGCAAUGUCAAUUCAUAUUAGAGUGUCGGCAAAGGAAAUUUGUACGUGAAAGUGGUAAAAACAUAGAUAUUUAUGAGAGUGAAGGGGUAAAAAAAACCAUAUUAAUGGCAGUGCAUGGUGGAGCAAUGGAGCAAGAGGGUAUCUCAGUUGACUUCAACGUACGUUGCUUUCAAUGGGGGGAAAGGGGAAACUUAAUUUAUUUUUAUUUUUGCUAAAAAUUUAUUGAAGAUGGUUAAGAAAAGGACAAUACGAGGGACUUGUACAACAUUGAUAAAAUCUAAUUGUUGCAACAUUCAUAAAAAUUUGUUUUGGGUAAGUGGUGGGAGAGUCUAUCACCUAUCCAUAAGUCGGGUUAUUGGUUUGAAGGUUACUCGAAAUACAAAGGGUUUAGAUAAAAAGACGAUACUCACAAAAUGAGUUUCGGCAAAAAGUAGGCUGAUUAAAAAUAAAGACUAGACCUAAACUUUAAUAUUUAAGGCUCGAACUUAGCUCGACCCACCCAUUCUAUACUUUUGUAUUAUAUUUUUAUUUUAUGUAUAUAUUAUGUAAAUUAUAUCACAUGAAAUUAAAUAUAUAUCUAUGAUAAUACAAUACUAGGUAACAUUAUAACAAAGAUGUCUAAAUUUAAAUUUUUAAUAAAAAAACCAUAUAAAAUAUAAAAUAUUAAAUUAAAAAUAAUAUAUUUUUUAAAAAAAUAAUAUGAACGUGCCUAAAACAGAUUUGGAUUAACCAUUUAUAAAUCUAGGAAAAUUUAAACUAAAUUUUAGACACAUAUUUAGAGUCAGGUCGAACCAAGCUUAGACAAAUAUAAAAUGUGUUAAUAUUAUACAAUACUUGACUCACCCAUAAACACCUCUAACCUUUACUAAUUGAAAUUUGGGAAACUAUUGAGUUGCAUUUUAUAUAUUUCACAAGUAUGCAGGCUAGGUUUUGGGUUGGUGGCAUCCAUGGUUGAAGGUUUGGAAAUUUUAAAAUAUCAAGUUUGAGUCUUAAUUUAUAUAAAUCAUAUUUAGAUUUUUAGUUUAGAUUUGUUUUGAAUCUGAUAUAAACGCAUAUAUUUAACUAAUUUUUGUUUCGAAUAUAUUUUUGUUAUCAGUUCAUUUAUACAUUGUAAUGAUUGAUUUUGAUCGUAAUGAUAUAAACGUAUAUAUUGUAAAUAUAAGUAUAACUUUUAAGAUUAUAUAUAUUUAACUAAUUUUCUUCUAUGUAAAAUGCACAAAUUAAUUAUAUGUAUUAUUUUUAUUGCAUUACAUUAUUUAUUUACAAAGUUUUGAUAUUUCUUAGUAUUAAGUAUUUUUUUAAUUAAUGUCUACCACAUUGCAUAUUGAGAAGUUAUCAUAUGUCAAUAUAAACUAACGAUGUUAAUACGAAGAUACCAACUAGAAUAUAUACGCAUAUAUACAAAUAUGUAUUGUAAUGAUUAAUUCUGAUCGUAAUGAUAUAUAUGCCUAUAUUGUAAAUAUAAUUUAGACGUGAAGUAUAGAUGGAUAUUUAAGAGAGUAAAGGGAGAAAAAUCCCAUAUUAAUGGCAGUGCAUGGUGAAGCAAUGGAGCAAGAUAGUAUCUCAGUUGACUUGAACAUGCAUUGCUUUCAAUGAGGGAAAAGAGGGAAACUUAAUUUCUUUUUCUGCUACAAAUUUAUUGGAGAAAGAUGGUUAAUAAAAGGGACAAUAAGAGGGACUAGGACCAGAUUGAUAAAAUAUAGUUGUUGCAACAUUCAUAAUAAUUUCUUUUUGGGGAGACACCGUGGUUGAUUGAAAUAUGGGAAAUUAUUUUGUAAUAGUGUUGAAGUUUUUUAAAUUUCACAUGUAUGUCAAUGAGGUUUUAGCUAGAUGGCAUGGUCGAGGUUUUGAUAAUUUAAAAUUCUCAAGUUUGAAUCUCACGUUGUAUAAAUUAUGUGUAAAAUUUCAGUUUAGAUUUGUUUUUUACAUUUGAAUAUGUAAAAUUAAAUUAUUUGUAAGCACCAACUCCCUCAUAGACAAUCAUGGGGCUUUAGAUGGGCCUAAAAGUCUCAAAGUCAGCAGGCUCCAUACGCGUCAACUUAGUGGACCCACAUCACUCAAGAACUUGGCCCAUGCAUAUGAUUCAAAAUAAUAGUAUUGUUGUUGGGUCCAAAACCAAAUAAAGCUAAAACUAUGUUGCCUAAAUUAAAUAACUCCUACAAAAUCAUAGAUCAAUAUAGAAAAGAUGUAGAAUAUGCUUCGCAUUUUGGUUAAAUUAAAACACAAAUAGAGAGUGACGUCGUGAUAAGGAGUUUUGGAUGUCGCGACGACACCAUAGGGGACAUUGCAAUUUUCUUGAUUUUCUUCUUCCAGUCAAAUUCUGAUUAUUUGUUCUAGUCGAACUCUAAUUAGUGUAGAUUAUUUUAAGAUUAUUUGACUUACGAAUUUAGCCUAUAAAUAGGCCCUUUUUUCUACCCUAGAAAGAUUAACCCAUAACACAUUUAAGUAUUAGCUUUUACAAGCUUUCUGAGAAUUUUAUAUUUAAGUUUUGAGAGUUCUUAUUUUCAGGUUUCGGGAUUUAGCUUUUAUCUCCAUCUUUAUACUCUUCGUUUUUGCCGAUUUAGUGAAUUAUCUUUGCCUGUGGUUUUUACCCUCUUCGGAGGGGUUUUUUCACGUAAAAUUUGUGUAUUCGAUCUUUUCAAUUUUUUCGUUAUUUUUCUUGUUCAUUGCUUAUACAAGUUUAUCCCCAACAGAAGAGGUCAUUGUCAUCAUUUAAAGCAGAAUCACAUCUUAACCUAACUUAAACUUGAUAAACACAAACUCAAAAAUAGAAAUUUGAUUUCAUAAAUUUGAUAUUCCAAGCUUGAUACUAAAUAAUCAAUACCUACAAAAUACUUAAAAACAAAAAAAAAAAAAGAUAAUCAAUCUCCGCUUCAUCUCACAAGACACAAAGUUUUCAAAGCAAAAUCAAAGAUUCGUUACAAGAUCUAGCCAAAACAUCAAGUAAUGAUCCGAUCAAAAUUCCAUCAAAGAAAUAUUAUUUACAAUUUCAUUAUAUUACUCAAAGAAAUGCUCUCACCACUCCCAUUCAAGGACAGCCAAAAUGUCUCUAAACAUUAACUCAAAACAAGAUCCAAAGAAGAAAGUUGAAGAAUAAAAGAGAAGUUGUGACUAACCCUCUUAAAUCGCUUUAAGCCAAUCAAUUAUUACAUUUAGCUUUAACUACCCAAGUUAUCCAACACAUUUAUUUUGAUAGGAAUAAUACUCAUAAGGACUUUAAAAUAAAGUUGUAAUCAUUAAUUUCAAUUACUUUAUUUUCAUCAUGUGGUAGACAUUAUAACCAUGCCAUUGCCAACAACAUCCACAUGGUACCAUGGUCACAUCUCCCCAUUGCCCACCCAUACAUUCAUGGUUCCAUUUUAACUACCCUUUCCAUGACAUCUAUACAACUAUAUAUUAAAGGCACUAAAGCUUUUCAAUUCUAAUUUUUUUUUUUUUUACUUUUUAGAUUAUAAGAAUGGGUAAUUUCCAAUAUGAUCCCUAUAUUUUAUUUAAAUUUAAGAUUUAAUCUAUAUACUUUAAUUUUGACAUAAUUUAAUAUCUCAAUUUUUAUAAUGCCAUUAGUUAGCCUAAAUAUUUUAUUCUAAUUAAAAUGAUUAAUAUAUGAAUUUUUAAGAAUUGUUAGCACUCUUAAAUUUUUUUAUUGAAUUUAUGUCUGUUACAAUGUUUUUUUUUGUUACAUGCAUACCAAGUUUAUUUUAUUUUUUCAAAAUGCCUAACCAACACAAAAGAAUUUUAACAGUAUUAACAAAUGGACCUAAAUUUUUAAAUUCGAAAAGCAGAGAAACUAAAUUCCUGAAAAUAAAAAUAUAAAGAUUAAAUUCUAAAUAUAUGAAUAAUAAAAAAAUUUGAACAGAUUGUAACCUUUAAAGUUUUACGCUAUAAUUUAAUUAAAAAAUAAAUAACUUAAUUGUACCCUUUGGACAAUAAUUUGAGCAUACCUUCAAAAUUGCUCAAGAUUAAAUGUUGACAUUUUGACUUGAUCUCCAUAAUUGUUUUCUUAUAAGCAAAUAAAUGGUGGUCGAAUUUGGAUGAUUGAAGGAACUAUGAGAUCAUCAUGCCCUUAUCCAUUAAGGCUUACCCUCAUCCUUAUUCUUUAAACAUUAUCUUAUGAAUUAUGCUGAUGAAUUUUCUUAUAUAAGAUUGUAUUUUGAGAUGAAUUUUGGAGGUUUUUAUCUCAAAUUAUUAUGCAUUAAAUUGGUGAUUUUAUCUCCACAAAAUCUGCUAAGAGGAGACUUUUUUACUAGUUUAUAAAUAGACUGCUACUUCCUCGUUGAGUUAUUUGGGUGUAUUUAGACACUCCUUGUUCUUUUGUACUAGCAUAUAAAUACAGUGUUGAUCAGCUUCCUCAUUUAAUACUGUAUGUAAUGUGAGUUAUUUGGAGAGAUUAAUUUGUUUGCAGCUACAAUUAUUAUUGCGAGAGGUUAGAUUGGGCUUUUGCUAAUAGUUAUAUCGGAUUAACUGUUGAAUAAAAUUAUUCUUUGAAUGAAGCUUGCAAAUAGGAUUUGUGAAUCCAUAUUGAUUCUUUAUUUACUUAUCUUUUGUCUCAUGUUUUGAAUUUGUGUUUAUUUCUCUCUUUAUUUUACUUCUUUUUUUAAUGUGUUUAAAAGGUUUUCUUCGAACUUCUAUUCAAUCAUCUAUUUGAAUAUUAAAUUAAAUGUUGAAUGAUAAAAAAACCCGAAAAAACAAUUUAAAAAAAAAAAAGAAUGAUGAGAGAAGGAAGUAGGCAGCCACCAACACAAAAUCCCAUACAAAAAGAAACAAUAGAAGUCCCUCCAAUACAAAUGAAAAAUAUAAAAGCUCCCCUCAAAAAAAAUCUCCCAAAGAAUACAAAUAUAUAUAAAUAAAUGUAAGCUCAAAUAUGCAUAGUAAAAAGCCCCAUCAAAGAGACUUAAGCCAGUAACAAUAUAUAAUGGAAAUUAAAACACUGAAAACAAAAACCAUAGCUAAGACACAAGUGGUGAAGAAAAGACUUCUUGGUUUAAAGCAUUAAACUGAGGAUACCCCAUCCAAUCACCAAGCUCCACACCAUCUUUCUUAUGGACCAUGUUUUCUGUACUCCACUCUGCAAUAAUCAAAUAACAUCUUGUAUUCAUAUUUUUUCCCACUAUUAUUAUAAUUGGAUAUGCAAAAAAAAAAUAGCUUCAUCCAUUGAAAGCUAAACAUGUUUUUGGAUAAAAAUAUAUUAAAUUUGAAAAAAUGAAUUUAGACUAUAAUAUUAAAAAAUAUUUAAAAAAUAAAUUGGGUUUUAGUUAAAUAUUUGAAGUAUAGACAUAGAUAGAAUUAAUUAAUUAUAAAUAUAGAUAAAUUUCAACAAAAUUUAUAGAUGCCAUUAAUAUGAUAUGUGUGUGUUGAUCCAACCUGAGGUCUAAUUAAAGCUUUCCAUGUCAGAGUUUACGUUAGAAUUUAGAACACCCUCUAUAUUUUUGCUAUAUUAGACAUACUUAAAUUUUAAACCCCAUAAGAGAAUAUGCAUAUACAUAUACAUAUAGAUAUACAUACCGUAUCGGUUCCAGCAGGGCCUGGUGAAGAAGCGCCGAGGCUGGGAGUAGGGGCCUCAUUUGAUGGAGACGGUGGGCUGGAGGCCGAAGGUGAUAGUGCUGGAGACUUAGCUUUGGUCUUGCUAGGGGCCGGAGCUGGAACCGUGGCAGGAGGAGAAGCCAAAGGAGCUGGUGGUGGGGUAGCUGGAGGAGGAGUAGCAGGAGGGGGAGAAGCAGGUGGUGGGGUAGCCGGAGGUGGAGAAGCCGGUGGGGGAGUUGCGGGAGGUGGAGUAGCCGGGGGAGGAGAAGCUGGUGGUGGGGAGCUAACGGGCGGGGGAGUCGCUGGAGGAGGAGUGGAAACUGGUGGUGGUGAUGAAGUAGGAGGAGGAGAGGAAGCUGGUGGCGGAGAAGUAGUUGUGGGUGUUGGAGGUGGUUGAGUAGUAGGUGGAGGUGUGGAAGCGGGUGGAGUCGGCGGCGCCGGCGUGGAUGUCGGAGGAUUACUAGGAGUAGGAGGAGCUUGGCCUAAAACGCCAGCUACAGCAAUGCAAAACAAAGCUGAUAAGAACAAAAACUUAUUAUUAAGCAUCAUAUUGGAAACAAUGGUGACCCUUUAAUCCUGCACACCCUCUCCGCUUAAACUACGCCCAGCCGUGCAAGCAAAUGAG
rnacentral:lncRNA from 1 species